AGCACAAUUAUAACAGUGAAAUGAAAAGCAAUGCAAAACAGAAUUUUGUGUAGUCGAAAUCAAAGUAAAUUUCAGUUAUUUUAAAACAUCUGCCAUAUUCUUUCUAUUCUAUGUAUAAUUAAGGAAACAAAAUAAAUGCAAUAUUAGGCAAAAACUGUUUUUGAGGUUCUGACUGUUGGUUCGGAUGCAAAUGAUGAAUACCUUAAUAUAGGUAGUAAUCAAAACAAACACUCAUGUCUAAAAUUAAAAUUAAAAUUAAAAUUAAAAAAACAUAACAAGCUAAAGGUGAUAUAUCAGGGUCCAUACGCUACCCUGAACCUUUAUCUCUCAGAACUUAAUCGCCCUGAACCUUUAACUUCCCGUUAGCUGUUUGCUAUGUGCGUGACGUGACAACUGUCAGGAUUUUGACUAAAUUUUUCAGAGUUGCUACUGCUGGAGUCUUUACCAGUGUGUGGGAGAGAGGGAAAAUUUAAAGUCUUGAUUUUUAGCAAUACAACUUUAACAAAGUGCUCUGUCACAGCAGCUUCACUCUGUAACACCUGUAAAGUCCCACCAAACACUGUGUGAGAUGUAAAUCUAACAAGUGGUAAAUGUAUUUCAUGGAUGGAGAAUUACACAUUCAUUGCAUUUAUGACAGAUGAACAGGAGAUCUGAUCUUGUGUUGCAGCCAUAACCUCAGUCUUUCACAUUGAUAACACUCUGAAACAAAAAUAAAAUCCCUCCAAACUCUGUAAGCGGUAACAUUGGCAAAUGUUCAAAAAAUUAAGCCAAUGAGAUUUUUCCCAAAAGAGCACCGCAUAAUAAAAUAAAGAAAGAAAGGGCACUGAUACUCUGAUAAAAAAAAUCUCAUAGACCACUGUAUAGUUUUUUUCAUCUGAAAACAGAAAGAGUAUGGCACAAUGGCUGUCCACCUAAAGGUGACAGGCUGGGCAUGGAGACCCUCAAUCAGAGGAGUAGCCAAGAGGGCUAUGUUUACUCUGGAGAAGCUGCAGAGAUCCAGCUAUCAGCUGUGUUCUCUAUAAAUCUGGCCUUUAUGAAAGAUUGGCCAGAAGAAUGCUGUUGUUAAAAAAAGCCACAGGAAGACCUGCUUGCAGAUUGCUACAAGCCAUGUAGAGGACACAGCAAAAAUGCUGAAGGAGAUGAAUGGCCAGAUGAAAUUAAAAUUGACCUUUUUGUCUUACAUUAAAAAAAAGCCAUGUGUGCUGAAAACCUAGCACAAUCAUGACCUUGAACACACCAUCCCCACAAUGAAUCGUGGUGGUGGCAGAUGUUGUGGCGAUGCUUUUCUGCAGCCGGUACAGGGAUGUUGUUCAGAGUAGAUGUGAAGACACACUGAGAUAAGUACUUGGCAAUCGAGGAAAAAAACCUGUCAGAAGAACACUUACAGCAAAAAUUCACGGUAAAUGUUGUUCUACAAAAAAAUUACUUACGCCUGGUUCACAUGGCAGGAUUUUCAAGUUGUCGGCUGAUUUUCAAAACUUGUGAGACUUCACAUGUGACGAUAAAAAACUGUCAUGUGUAUGGGGUGCCGAAUGUAAAAAUUGAGCAAAAAAAAAAAAAAAACUUGGCACGUUUCUGUUAUUUAAUGCACUUUCUUCACCUUUAAUGAAUUUUUCUUGCAUUUAUUGGAAAAUGCUAAAUAUAAAUCUUAAAUCUAAAUCUUAUAUCUUAUACCUAAAUCUAAAUCAAAAUCUUCAAUCUAAAUCUAAAUCUCGAAUAUAAAUCUUCAGAAGAUAUGCUAAUUAACCACGCCCCUUCAACGUCUCAACUCGUGGCCACGCCCCCAGUAGGACCGUUGAAUGAGAAGAACGGGGAGGUCAACAGCCAACAUGGCGGUUUCGCUGCAAGCGGAGGAAAUUAAACGGCCUGUAGUGGCAGUUGUGCAGGCUUCACUGCAGGGUACGCUCCCGCAUCCACCACCCUCAUCAAUUCUGAGCUGGUGCCAUCCUCUAUGGACAAGUGCUUCUCAAGCCACUCCACCACGGCUUGGUUGUUAUCCCAAAGAUAAGCCUGUAAAAGCAAAUACACAUCAGAUCAGCUCAGUUUCAUCAGGCAAAUACAAUUUAUUACUAGAUGUUUAAAUGUGGUCCAACACUGGAACUGUUUAACAAUUCAGUUAAUAAAAGCAAGUACAUGAGCUUAAUAAAAAAAGACUGUUUUCUCCAUA